rnacentral:rRNA from 1 species
CUACGGGAUGCAGCAGUGGGGAAUAUUGGACAAUGGGGGAAACCCUGAUCCAGCAAUGCCGCGUGUGUGAAGAAGGCCUGCGGGUUGUAAAGCACUUUCGGUUGGGAGGACUGCUUCUAGCACUAAUAUUGUUGGAAGUUGACGUUACCUUCAGAAGAAGCACCGGCUAACUCCGUGCCAGCAGCCGCGGUAAUACGGAGGGUGCAAGCUUUAAUCGGAAUUACUGGGCGUAAAGCGCGCGUAGGCGGCUAGAUCAGUCGGGUGUGAAAGCCCCGGGCUUAACCUGGGAACUGCAUCCGAUACUGUCUAGCUUGAGUACAGGAGAGGAGAGUGGAAUUCCACAUGUAGCGGUGAAAUGCGUAGAUAUGUAGAGGAACACCAAUGGCGAAGGCAGCUCUCUGGCCUGAUACUGACGCUGAGGUGCGAAAGCGUGGGGAGCAAACAGGAUUAGAUACCCCCGUAGUC